rnacentral:rRNA from 1 species
UACGGGAGGCAGCAGGGGGGAAUAUUGCACAAUGGGCGCAAGCCUGAUGCAGCCAUGCCGCGUGUAUGAAGAAGGCCUUCGGGUUGUAAAGUACUUUCAGUCGUGAGGAAGGUGUUAAGGUUAAUAACCUUAGCAAUUGACGUUAGCGACAGAAGAAGCACCGGCUAACUCCGUGCCAGCAGCCGCGGUAAUACGGAGGGUGCGAGCGUUAAUCGGAAUUACUGGGCGUAAAGGGCACGCAGGCGGUUAAUUAAGUUGGAUGUGAAAUCCCCGGGCUUAACCUGGGAAUGGCAUUCAAGACUGGUUAGCUAGAGUCUUGUAGAGGGGGUAGAAUUCCAUGUGUAGCGGUGAAAUGCGUAGAGAUGUGGAGGAAUACCGGUGGCGAAGGCGGCCCCUGGACAAAGACUGACGCUCAUGUGCGAAAGCUGGGGAGCAAACAGGGAUUAGAUACC